rnacentral:lncRNA from 1 species
CUCCGCUCUUCCUCCAGCAGCACAAUGUGAUCCACCAGCAAGGAAUGACACCAAUGGAAGGUGUCCAAUAAGGUGGCAGGCAGAACACUGGCAGCUGGCAGAGACCUCCCACGUGGCGGUAGAACUAGGGUGUCUUUUGGCGGAAAGAUUUAUCAUAACACUGGACUCUGACUACUGGGUGAACCUUACACAAACCCCUUAGCUUUGUUCCUUCUUCAACUCUCAAGUGGCAUGUUGACUAGGAUGAUUCGUUCGGAGGCUCCUCCAGCCCUCAACAUUCUAAAUUGUCAAGCAGUUUAUACAUCCAACCCAGAAUCGGCAAGGGAAAUGCAACCACAGGUGAGGCGAAGAAAAACGUCUCAACGGCCAACGCAAGCAGCAAGCAGGGUAAAGAACAUUAUUGCAAUACUUGUCUCUUCACAACUUGCCUGAACAGAAGAGGACACAGAAAGAUGAAUGAUAUAUCACUGCAUGAUAAAUUGAAUUAAGAGAAGAUCUUUGAGAAACACACAGGAAAAUAGUAAGUGGGGGGCCAACUCUUAACUCUGCAGUUAAGAGCUCUUGCUGCUACUGUAGAAG